AUAAUAUGUAAAGUGUAUGCAUGUUUGUCUUUUCAGUGGUGCCUCAACUUAUUCUAGUGGAGAAUGUCCGACCAAAUAAAUGUCAACCGCUUCAUCUAGACGGACCACACCAAGAAAACUGAAUAUGAAUAUAUCUUACUAUUAUCUGCAGUCGUUCUAAAAUGAAAGAAUUGUAAUCAGUUAUCUGUCAAUAAAAGCUUGUUCUGUA